rnacentral:misc_RNA from 1 species
CGUAACAAGGUUUCCGUAGGUGAACCUGCGGAAGGAUCAUUAGAGAACCUGGGCCUGCGCUACUUGCGCGGCUCCAACCAAUACACAGUGUGUUAUACUUCUCUUGCUUUGGCUCUGCCAAAGGUUUUAAACACAGAAAUUUAUUUUCUUUAAGAACAGUCAAUUUGAAAUUUUAAUCUUCAAAACUUUCAACAACGGAUCUCUUGGUUCUCGCAACGAUGAAGAACGCAGCGAAAUGCGAUACGUAAUGUGAAUUGCAGGUUUUCGUGAAUCAUCGAAUCUUUGAACGCAUAUUGCGCUCUCUGGCAUUCCAGAGAGCAUGCCUGUUUGAGCGUCAUUUCUCUCUCAAGAUCCUCUAGGGGACUUGGUAUUGAGUGAUACUCUGUGUUAACUUGAAAUACUCUAGGCAGAGCUCCCCCCUGGAAAUCCUCUGGGCCGAAAUAAUGUAUUAGGUUCUACCAACUCGUUAUUUUCCAGACAGACUUCCAGGCAGAGCUCGGCUUAACAACCUUUCUAAGCUUGACCUCAAAUCAGGUAGGACUACCCGCUGAACUUAAGCAUAUCAAUAAGCGGAGGAAAAGAAACCAACAGGGAUUGCCUCAGUAACGGCGAGUGAAGCGGCAAAAGCUCAAAUUUGAAAUCUGAGGCUCCCCAGCCCCCGAGUUGUAAUUUGAAGAUGGUGUUCUGGUGCCGGCGCCCUGUCUACGUUCCUUG